GGAUAUAGCUCAGCCUGGUAGAGCGCUUGCUUUGGGAGCAAGAUGUCGGAGGUUCGAAUCCUCUUGUC
rnacentral:tRNA from 1 species